AAGAGUUAGGGUUAUUGCUUAGUUAUAUGUUAUGUUGAUUAAUUUGCUUCCUUAAUGGUUAUUAGGGAGUGAGAAGAAAUAGAAUGAAGUAGUACAAGAGAGGACAUGAUCAAAUUGGAAAAACAUACCAUUUCUCUCCUCCGUUCUUCCCACUGCACUCCCUCUCUUUUCCGAACAAACGCAGCGUAGAAGCAAUGAAACCGUCACAACCACACUCCACAUUUUCCCCCACACUCUCCAAACGCAUCCUCCAUCCCCUUCUCCAUCUCCGCCUCUUGUUCCUCUUCGUUCCCACCUAAACUAAACCCCACUCACUCUUCUCUCUUUUCUUAUUAUCUUUUUAAUCAUGUCUGAAUCCCUUCUCUGCCUCUUAACCGAGGACCUCCUCGUCCGAGUCCUUCACCACCUCCACUCCGACGCUGACCGAAAAUCAUGGCGACUCGUCUGCAAGCACCUGAACCGGGUCGAAUCCAUCACCCGAACAACCAUUAGGAUCCUCCGGAUCGAGUUCCUACUCGCUCUGCUCCACAAAUUCCGCAACAUUCAGGAACUUGACCUCUCCCUCUGCCCGCGGAUCGACGACGGAGCCGUGAAGGUUAUGCUGAGUCAGGAAUCGCCCGGUUGGACUCGGGGGCUUAAGAGGCUGGUGCUGAGUCGAGCCACCGGUUUGGGCCACUCGGGUCUGGAACAGCUGGUUCGUGCGUGUCCCUUGUUGGAGGCCGUUGACGUGUCGCAUUGUUGGGGUUUCGGUGACAGAGAGGCUGCGGCCAUUUCGUGCGGCACGAGGUUGAGGGAAGUGAACAUGGACAAGUGCUUGGGUGUCACUGAUAUUGGGUUAGCCAGGAUCGCUGUUGGUUGCAGCAGAUUAGAGCGCCUCAGCUUGAAGUGGUGCUUUGAGAUUUCUGAUCUUGGCGUUGACCUUCUUUGCAAGAAGUGCUUCUAUUUGAAAGUUCUCGAUGUCUCGUAUCUCAAGUCAUGGAGUUCUAUUCUUGCUACUCUUGAGAGUGUAGAGGUUACAAGCGAAUCUUUGCGAUCAAUAGCUUCUCUAUUAUAUCUAGAGGUUCUUGUUAUGGUGGGCUGCUCUUUAGUGGAUGAUGUUGGAUUGCGGUAUCUUGAAAAUGGAUGUCCACUUCUUAAGACGAUUGAUGUAUCACGGUGCAACUGUAUUAGCUCCUCUGGCUUAAUAUCUCUAGUUAGUGGACAUGUGGAUCUUGUACAGAUAGGUGUAGGAUACUGCCUCUCUGAACUUUCAGGACCUCUUGUUCAUUGCUUGAAGAAUUUAGAGCAGCUGAGUGCAAUUAGAAUUGAUGGUGUUCGAGUUUCUGACUUCUUCCUCCAGACCAUAGGGAAAAACUGCAAGUUUAUAGUGGAGCUUGGUUUAAGCAAAUGUAUUGGUGUAACCAACAUGGGUAUUUUGCACCUAGUAUCCGGUUGUGGCAGUUUGAAGAUACUUGAUUUGACUUGUUGUCGCUCCAUCACUGAUGCAGCCAUCUCUACAAUAGCAGACUCUUGUCCGGACCUUGUCUGUCUUAGGUUAGAGUCUUGUGACAUGGUGACUGAGAAUUGUAUUUAUCAUCUUGGAUCGAAUUGCUUGCUGCUUGAAGAACUUGAUCUUACUGAUUGCUCUGGCAUCAAUGACAUUGCACUUAAGUACCUAUCUGGGUGUUCAGAACUCGUAAGAUUGAAGUUAGGAUUGUGCACAAACAUAUCAGACAUUGGAUUGUCACAAAUUGCUUAUAAUUGCCGAAAAAUGGCUGAACUUGAUCUCUAUCGAUGUGUAUAUAUUGGAGAUGAUGGGCUAGCAGCACUUGCAAGUGGAUGUAAGAAGUUGAUGAAGCUUAAUGUGUCGUAUUGCAAUAGGAUCACAGACAAAGGGAUGGAGUAUCUCAGCCAUCUUGGUGAAUUAUCGGAACUGGAGAUGCGUGGGCUUUCAAACGUCACAAGCAUUGGUAUAAAAGCUGUUGCACUGAGUUGCAAGAGACUGGCCGAUUUAGAUUUAAAACAUUGUGAAAAAAUAGAUGAUUCUGGUUUCUGGGCCCUUGCUUUUUACUCACAAAACCUGCGGCAGGUCAGUGGUAUUUGCAUUACUCAAUUACAUUAUUUCUGCCUUCUUAAUAACAGAGGAAUGCAGCCUCCAAAUCGAAAGUAAGUCAAAUGAAUGUGCCUGAAGGGACAUAAAUGAUACCCCUCAGGUUUUAUUGAUUCAUAAGUUAUGUACUGUCUUCUAGUUUGAUCUUAUUGACAAAUUUGUCACUAUGAUACUCCUUUGAGUCAUUGACCAACACUAUGAUACUCCUACUGCUUCUCAAUGCUUCAUAAGAUAAUCUUUUGUUUCUUUGCUAAUUGACAAACUGAUACACUAAACGUAGAAAACCUGCUAUGCUGGUAACACGUGGUUUCUACAGCCGGUAUAAACUUGAGCAACUGCAAUGUAUCAGAUGUGGUGUUGUGCCUGAUGAUGGGAAACUUGAAACGCCUUCAGGAUGCAAAACUGGUGCAUCUUUUUAAAGUCACUGUA